AGGAGGGCAUGGCAACCCACUCCAGUAUUCUUGCCUGGAGAAUCCCCAUGGGCAGAGGAGCCUAGUAAGAUACAGUCCACAGGGUCUCAAAGAAUCAGACACGACUGAAGCAACUGAGCACUCAGGAUGUGAUUAAAAAGAGAAGAACUUAAAACAAGAGGUACAAAACCUAUUCAGAAGAUGGUGUCUAGACAGAACGGCAGCAGAAGACAGCUGAUUUCAUGUCCUGUUGGGCCAUGAAGCUGGAAGGAAAGGUCUUAGCAGCGGCAUGUGGGAUCUUAGUUCCUCAAAAAGGGAGCAAACCCGAGUCGCCUGCAGUGGAAGCACAGAGUCUUAACCAGGGGACCGCCAGGGAAGUCCCCGAAAACCUAUUAUUUUGAAUAAACCCUAUAAAGAUA